UACGGAGGGUGCAAGCGUUAAUCGGAAUUACUGGGCGUAAAGCGUGCGCAGGCGGUUUGUUAAGUCUGCUGUGAAAUCCCCGAGCUCAACUUGGGAAUUGCAGUGGAUACUGGCAAGCUGGAGUACGGUAGAGGAAGGUGGAAUUCCCGGUGUAGCAGUGAAAUGCGUAGAGAUCGGGAGGAACACCAGUGGCGAAGGCGGCCCCCUGGGUCGAUACUGACGCUCAUGCACGAAAGCGUGGGGAGCAAACAGG
rnacentral:rRNA from 1 species